UUAAAGGGAAACCAUCACCUAUCUGGUGAUACACCAUUUACAAUUAUCUAUAAACUAACAUUUACUCCUAUGAUGCUGUGGCUUUAUUUACAUUUCUGUGACAGAUUUAGAACAUUUCAUCACAAUCCAGGUCAGACAAGGCACAAUCCAGGGCACACAUUGCAAGUGAGGAGGAUAAAUAGCAAUAUACAGGGUUAUUCAUUAAACUGAGAUUUUAAGGCAAUUCAAAGUGAAUUUCCAGUUUAAGGCCAGAGUAGUUGAAUUCAAAGCACAGCUGACUGAGGAUUUUUCCGCUUUCACUAUUUUGACUAUUAACUUGAAAUUCACUUGAAAUUGUCUGUAGAGCAAAACCCUGAGUGAUUUCAUUUCUUCUCUGUACUCGUCUGUUUGGAGACACCCAAUCGUAGGAUUAAGAGAUGUGGAUUUCUACAUUGAAUUACAUUUUACAGACCACACAAAUCCAUAAUUCAGUUUUGAUGGGGAAAAAAAUGGUUGUCAUUUUAAAGGGUUUAAUUUUAUAGCAAACUAAUGCUCAAACUGUACAGAGAAGGAGCAACCAAAUCGGUGCAGAGGUCUCUAUUGGCGACACAUCACAUCACAGACCGCAAACAAGCUUUAGUAAGCUAGCUAGCACUAUUGCACCCGAAAGUGCAAGUAUGACACAGUCAAGGAAAAACUUGAUUCAAAAAAUAAAAUGUAAUAUACAUGUAUGUAGAAAGCAGAUAAGGAUAGAGGCAGUUUUCAUUUUGGCGUCAAAUUUCAAUGUAGCUUUAGUUAUAGUCUAUUGACUAAAAAGCCAUUUUAGUUUUAGUCAUAUUUUAGUCAUCUGAAUUUUUUAGUUUUAGUCAAAUAAAUCUCCAGUAG